rnacentral:lncRNA from 1 species
CCAGAUUUGCAACCAAGAAAAUCUGUAAAUUAACAAACGCAAAUGAUAAGAAAUUUAAAUACUUAGAGCUUGCAGAAAGUUGUAUUGGCGAAAAACAAAACACUAACUCACUGGAGAUCGACCCUUAGUUCAAAAAAAUGAGGCUCUGAAAUAUGUUGAGAAUUGAGGGCUUUGAGGGCUCGGGAAAAAGAGAUGAAGAUAUUGACAAUAAACCAAAGAAGUUGUAAAUCAACUUCUUUACUUAAGUCAUGGAUUUUUAUGUUUUUGAAUCUAGAUCCAGUAUUCUUGAAACUGAGUUUUUUUCUUCUCUUGUUGAAUAUUCCGAAAAGUGAGAUUUAGACAAAAAAAAAUUGAGAAAAAAAUUGAGAUUUUUCGGACAAGAUCAGAGAAGAUAAUCAGAGAGAGAUAAUGAAGGUGUAGUGAGUGUUGUGUUGCAGAGUUUUUUGUGUGUGAGAACGUUUGAGCGUGGUGGCUGAUUAGAGGUAGAGAGAGAUGAUGGAGGUGUGGUGG